rnacentral:rRNA from 1 species
UGUAGUCUGCAACUCGACUACAUGAAGCUGGAAUCGCUAGUAAUCGCGAAUCAGAAUGUCGCGGUGAAUACGUUCCCGGGUCUUGUACACACCGCCCGUCACACCAUGGGAGUUGGGAAUGCCCGAAGCCGGUGACCCAACCAAAAGGAGGGAGCCGUCGAAGGCAGGUCUGAUAACUGGGGUGAAGUCGUAACAAGGUAGC